UACGUAGGGCGCAAGCGUUGUCCGGAUUUAUUGGGCGUAAAGAGCUCGUAGGCGGUCUGUCGCGUCGGAUGUGAAAACCCGGAACUCAACUCCGGGCCUGCAUUCGAUACGGGCAGACUUGAGUACUGCAGGGGAGACUGGAAUUCCUGGUGUAGCGGUGGAAUGCGCAGAUAUCAGGAGGAACACCGGCGGCGAAGGCGGGUCUCUGGACAGUUCCUGACGCUGAGGCACGAAGGCCAGGGGAGCAAACGGG
rnacentral:rRNA from 1 species